rnacentral:rRNA from 1 species
GGGAUUAGCUAGUAGGUGGGGUAACGGCUCACCUAGGCGACGAUCCCUAGCUGGUCUGAGAGGAUGACCAGCCACACUGGAACUGAGACACGGUCCAGACUCCUACGGGAGGCAGCAGUGGGGAAUAUUGCACAAUGGGCGCAAGCCUGAUGCAGCCAUGCCGCGUGUGUGAAGAAGGCCUUCGGGUUGUAAAGCACUUUCAGCGGGGAGGAAGGCGUUAAGGUUAAUAACCUUGGCGAUUGACGUUACCCGCAGAAGAAGCACCGGCUAACUCCGUGCCAGCAGCCGCGGUAAUACGGAGGGUGCAAGCGUUAAUCGGAAUUACUGGGCGUAAAGCGCACGCAGGCGGUCUGUCAAGUCGGAUGUGAAAUCCCCGGGCUCAACCUGGGAACUGCAUUCGAAACUGGCAGGCUAGAGUCUUGUAGAGGGGGGUAGAAUUCCAGGUGUAGCGGUGAAAUGCGUAGAGAUCUGGAGGAAUACCGGUGG